rnacentral:lncRNA from 1 species
GUCUACGAUGAUGAUAUAAAGAUUUUUGCCCAUGAUGAACAUUUACAAAUUUCCACUCCUAGCUUCAAGCUUGUGAAGUGCCAUUCAUGUCUUUCUGACGCAUCUUGUUCAAAAGUGGCAUCUAAGACCAUAGUUCUAAUUACUGUGACUAUGACUGUUUCCCUUAUUAUUUAAGUGGUACUGGAGACCACAUUUCAUGAUAAUGUGGAUUCAUUUAUUUAUGUGAUUAUCAAUUUUCGUGGACUGCUGAAAACUUUCAUAUUUGUGGAUAUUUGAUUUUGUGGUUUUUCUAAUUUCUGUAUACUUUAGCCUAUUAAAAAUAUUUUAUUCGUUAAACAUUUGAAUUCAUGGGUCAACUGUACCCACAAAACCCACGAAAGUUGGUAUCCAACGAAUAUUAAUGAAUCCACAGUAGUAUUUUGCAAAUUGGAAGAUAUUUGUGUAUGCUUCAAUAUAAGAGUAUUUCUGCUUUAAAUUCAUUAAUUACAGGUGUCGUUAAUAGCUGAGGUUGAUGGUUUAAUAGAUCUUAGGCAUAAAAGACAUUAGCAUACAUUGAUAUCUAAAGUGUGACAGUUAGUAUUUGCACUAAAAGGAAUCAUUUAAGUUGAGGUGUGUCAGGUUAUCAUUAUUCAACAAUCCCGGUACAGCUGAAAUAAUUUAGGUUUUUAUGCCCCACCUACGAUAGUAGAGGGGCAUUAUGUUUUCUGAUCUGUGGCUCCGUUCAUCCGUCCGUCCGUCCGUC